UGGGGAAUCUUGCGCAAUGGGCGAAAGCCUGACGCAGCGACGCCGCGUGCGGGAAGAAGGCCUUCGGGUUGUAAACCGCUUUCAGGAGGGAAGAAGCGAAAGUGACGGUACCUCCAGAAGAAGCCCCGGCCAACUACGUGCCAGCAGCCGCGGUAAUACGUAGGGGGCAAGCGUUGUCCGGAAUUAUUGGGCGUAAAGAGCUCGUAGGCGGUCCGUUAAGUCAGAAGUGAAAUCUCAGGGCUCAACCCUGAAAUUGCUUCUGAUACUGGCGGACUUGAGGUAGGUAGGGGAAGGUGGAAUUCCUGGUGUAGCGGUGAAAUGCGCAGAUAUCAGGAGGAACACCGGUGGCGAAGGCGGCCUUCUGGGCCUUACCUGACGCUGAGGAGCGAAAGCGUGGGGAGCGAACAGG
rnacentral:rRNA from 1 species